CGAGAGUGUGUGUGCGUACGUGCGUGUAUGUGCGUGUACGUGUGCGUUUGCCUGUGUACGUAUGCGUACUUGUGUGUAUGUGUGCGUGCGUGUACGUGUGUGUGCGUGGAGCUGUGAUGCGGUGGUUCACACACCGUGCUAUGAACCCCGCGACUCGAGUUUGAUUUCCGGCCACAGAUAACAUCAGUGGCGGGGUGUUGCAUAAUCUUUUCUCCUGGACUUACCCGAGAUGAAAGCCACACCAACCUUCCCAUGUGCAGUGCUCCCUUUACUAUGGGCCCGCAAUCCGUACUUGCCCCUAUGAACGAUGAUGCUAGAUGGGGGAUCGUUGUCUUGUGUGUGUGUGUCUUGGCACCAGGUGAACAAUCGAUGCCAUCCUGGAGAGAGUAGGUGGAGAGGCAACACUGAAUCUAGGGGACAGUUCAGUUCGAUGGUCCAGGUGGUCAUUGGGGCAUUUAAAUAUGUAGGGUGCUCACUGCCAUCAGAAGAUUCUGUUGACCGCAGGGGCCUCUUGAGAGUAGCACAGGCAUGGGUUAAAUAAUUGCAGAACCGUGUACUAAUUUGAAUGUAAAUUGCUGCUACAGCAACAGCAUAUAUCAAUUAAUCAAUGGGAUCCUUUAAGUAUUUAUAUCCAGGUAAGGACUCCUGUAUAUACUAGGGGUAGAUAGGGGCCUCGUUAGUUUUUUCAUGUCUGUUGCUACCAAGACUCGGAGACCAGGCCUGUAAAUGCAUGCAUGCGUUACAACAUUACGAACCUCGAUGGUGCAAGAUUUGCGUAAUUAUUACUUCCCAGAAGUCUUUAACUGUGAUCUUCAGCUCAGCAGAGUCCUAAAAAUAUAAUAACCUUCAUUACAGAAUUUUUAUUCCCAUUUCCAAAUCAAGGAUGGGGGUGUGCGGAAUGUAAUGAGCCAAGCCAUUUCGGGGCUAUUUACAUCUAAAUGAUGUGACCGAUAGCAUUAUCUCCCCAUUUCAUUUCCAGUUUCACCAAAGCGUGUAAAUGUAUGGGGAGGAUGGACAUAAGAGUUUAGAGGUAGAGGAGGAGGAGGGUGGAGGAGGCGUAGCUGAUGGGUUUCGCUAAAUUCUUGUAUCAUCUGCCAAGGGCUAUUAAUCCAGAGGGGACGUACUUGCGUGCAGAGACCUCUGCAUCUGCCAUCGCCCUCCCCCGGAUUUCCCAGGGUGCACCGCAAAGCCACAGAAGACGCGCUCGAGAGGCGCGCUGCACACCGAUUGCAGUAUCUGCUCACGAACGACUCCGUCGACCCCCAUCCACGCCCACGUCAUUUGGCAUUGACGAGUCGCAGUUUGGAAGGGUCGCUGCUCUGCGGCAGUUCCCGGGUGGUGCCUCGGCUGUGGGUAUGGGGCCAGUGCUGUGGCUACGAGGGCAGCACAAGCAGCUGUUGUCCGCUCGAUGCGUGCCAUCGAUAUCGCACCACGAGCAACCUGAACCAAUAAACUGCAACCGGCAGAAGUUGGCAAGUCUCUUGCGAGCAUUUUUGACGUCCGUGUCUCGUGCCCUCUGGUCUUGUACCAUUCUUCUUGUGAGUGUCGUUUCUUCUGGCUGAUUUCCUUCCACUGCAGGAGAUAUCUUUCAAACUCACAAGCGCAGAAACUUGUCCUAUACAUUAUAAUGUAAACAAAUUCGAUGUAUUUCUUUAUCGAUUCUCUUCUUUAGUGAUUGGUUUAAUUAAUUAAUUGACCAAUCUUUAUGAUUAAUUCACUACAAUUAGCUUGGUGUAGGGAUCAUUUUGGCAAGUGUCACUUUCUGUGGAAGCGUAACUCUGGAGCGCGAUUGCUGCAUCUGCCAGUAGAGAACUGCAAGCGAUAUUAUGUAGGCCGACGGCAUGCUGGCCAUCUAUUGACUUCACAACACGACAGAGCACUUAUUUUCCUUUGAUUUUAACAAAGACAAAGAUCCCCCGUGUAGCCUUUAAAAGACCUUUGGGGUCUGUGCUCUUUAGCCAGAAACUGAUGAAGGCUGUAAUGGGUUGGGUGGCCAACACAACAUCCCCCGGCGGCCUUUGUCUCCCCAGUGCUGAUGUUUACACACAGCACCAGCUGUUCAUUUAAGGCAAAGUCGAUCUAGGGGAGGCCCAUGAUCAGAUCAGAUAUUCACCACCGUUUUUGGCCGUGAGCGGGAAUCGAACUUGGGUCGCCGGGUUAGUAGCAGAGUUUGUUAACCACUGUGCCACCACCCCCCGUCAUGUGUGUAUAUAUAUUCACGCACCUUGUAUAUGCUGUGAGUAUGCACAAUCCCUAUGGAAUCUACAUAUUCAUUGCAAAGCUCUACUGCAGGAGACGUGUUAUGGUUGAGAGCAGCUCGAGUUUCCAGCGUUCUUCCGGAUUUGGGUGAGAUCCUGGGAUGGCAACAGCACGAUCCCAAAAGGGGGAUCGAGACUUGUGAGUCUGCGGCGAGAAACAUUGUUGAGAGGCCAGAGCGAUGGAGUGGAUCAGAGCAGGAGCGAUAACCGCAGGCCCAAUGCGGCCCGAGAGGUGGCGGCUUCGCUCGGCCCUCGUGGCGGUCGCCCCGUUUGCCUCCAGCGGGGCCGGCGCGCCGUCGUCAUUCAUCCCCAGGCGUCGCCGUCGUCGCCUUGCGGGACGACGACGCCGCCGUUGGGUUUCGCUGCCACAUGCCUGCUGGAUUCCUCCCGCAUUCCAGCCUUUGUGUGCGCCCCACUCA